UUGAUCUGAAAGUACUUAUCAUUUCCUUGUGAAUAUCUAUUUUAAUCCGCUAAAAACAUGACCCUAUCUGGUCAGUUGGAGACUGAAUUAGAGGCCAAGGUUUCGGCUAGUAUUUUUCAUGAUGUGCUUAGCUGCAGGCCACACCAUUUCUCCAAUAUGACUCCUGAUCAUGUACAAGGUGUUGAACUGCACGAAGGUGAAUGGGGAAAACCAGGCACUGUCAUUACCUGGACUUAUAAGCAUGGUAAUUAAGCUCCCCUGGCCCGUUUCUUUAAAUUUUUUCAGUUAUAUGUAUAUUCUCUUGGUAAAUUAACUGAUUGCGUUUGCUUUGCCUAAUGCUUACACAGAUGGGGUUACAGAAAUUGCCAAGGAGAUAAUUGAAGAAAUAGAUGACGAAAAGAACUCGACAACUUUUAAAGUAAUUGAAGGGCAUCUACUGGACAAGUACAGCAGCUUCUAUGUUACCGUUCAAGCCAUUCCGAAGGGUGAACAUAGUUGCUUGGCUCGUUGGACUAUCAAGUAUGAGAAGAAGAGCGAGGACGUGCCUGAUCCCCAAGGAAUUGUAAAUUUGGCAAUCGAAAUGACCAAAGGUAUCGAAGCCCAUCAUCCCCCAAAGCAGGCAUAGAUCCAUGCAUUACUGCCUUAGGUUAUGUCUGUG
rnacentral:lncRNA from 1 species